AUGUCUUUUAAUUCUUUUGUCAUUUAUAGAUUGUUAUUUUUGUACUCUGAUGCUGUUACAAAAAAGUGCUGCGUCAUCAAGGAGAUUCAUAGAAAGGCUAUGGAAGCAGCUACAAGCUGUUUCACCUCAAGAGGAAGGCUGUGGAGCCCAACGGCGCGGCGUGUGGAGUGGGCAAUGGCUCCCCCUCGCGGUGCGCGCGCAGCCUGCAGGGCCAGCCGCGGGAGCAGGCCUGUGGAAAAGGAUUCAGAGAACACGGUCUCGCGUGACUUCCUUCUGAGGUGCGAUCUGACCAGACACUUCUGCUGGACUCCUUUCCAGCACCUGGCAGCUGUGACCCUGGAAGGCAGUGCUGUAGCCACCCAGUCGAGCAGAGGUGAUGUUGUAGUUGUUAAGUCUGUAUGCAUGAGAGAAAAAUAUAACAACAUGAGUUGGGAGUAAAGUAAUCAGGCAGUAAAGAGAAUGAACAGUAAGAACAAUGGACCUGGUCAACAGAGCUGUGUUGUCAGAAGAGAGACAGUUGUUGGACACCGGGAUGCAUCACGCAGGGAAUGGAGGGAAUGGGCUUCAGUGCAGAAGUGAAGAUUGCCUUCAGCCACAGCUGGCCUCCGUUCUUUAGGGAAGUACAGCCAGCCUUCUUAGUAAGGGUUGUCGCAAUCAGAACUCUGAUUGAAGAUGGGAAGUCUGCCUACAACAGAUGACAGGGAUUGUAGGGACAGAAGGUGGACAGUGGAGUCAAGUCAGAAGGCUGUUGUUAGAAGGGGGAAAGGUCUGCCUUAGUGGCAGUAGUCAUGACAGGAGGACAUGCACAGAAGCAAAGACCACAGAACUGAUAGCACUGACCACUGGCCAAUGUCUUGGACCAUGAGAUAAGAAGAAAUUUAAAACAGGAAUCUGAAAUUGUGGACAUGGAAAACUGAUGGGUGAUGGUAUUGGCUGACUUUAGGGAUUGCAAGAAAUACACACGCGGGACCAGAUAAAAGGGUAGAUUUUACAGGACAUUGCAGUGGAAAUGAUAGGAAACUGGAAUUCACUGAUGGUCUUAGAGCUCAUGGGGAAAUGGAUAGGAGUCAGAGGGCCACGCUGUGAAGUUAAGUAGUGGUCCAGCUUGACAUGAGGCAGCUCAGCCUCCUAAGUGCUCAAAGAAUGUAAAAGAGAAACAUGCCCUCUGCACAACAGCAUCCCGCCUGACUUGACUGCUUAGACUUACAUUUUCUUUCUUUUUCUUCUUUUCAGCUUUCUGUUUAUAAAAGAUAUACAUGCUAAUCCUAGCAAAUUUGGAAAGAACAGUUUAGAAAUAGGAAAAAAGAAAAUUUCUCUGAAUCCCACGCAAAUUCUUUCUUUCUCUCUUUUGUUUUCCAUUUGGUAUUUUCAAAAAAGUUGGGGAAUAGUGAAUUGGUGAAAUGGGUGAAGGUAGAUACUUGUGGUUGUAAAAUAAGUU
rnacentral:lncRNA from 1 species